UACGUAGGGUGCAAGCGUUAAUCGGAAUUACUGGGCGUAAAGCGUGCGCAGGCGGUCUUGCAAGACAGAUGUGAAAUCCCCGGGCUUAACCUGGGAACUGCAUUUGUGACUGCAAGGCUGGAGUGCGGCAGAGGGGGAUGGAAUUCCGCGUGUAGCAGUGAAAUGCGUAGAUAUGCGGAGGAACACCGAUGGCGAAGGCAAUCCCCUGGGCCUGCACUGACGCUCAUGCACGAAAGCGUGGGGAGCAAACAGGAUUAGAAACCCGUAGUCC
rnacentral:rRNA from 1 species